rnacentral:rRNA from 1 species
GACGAACGCUGGCGGCGUGCCUAACACAUGCAAGUCGAACGGGACCAGGGGCAACUCUGGUUCAGUGGCGGACGGGUGCGUAACACGUGAGGAACAUGACCUUCGGCGGGGGAGUAGCCGGCCCGAACCGGCCGGGUAAGUACCGCGUACGACCAUUGGGUACGAUCCUCGAGUGGUGAAAGCAGCAAUGCGCCGAUGGAGUGCCUCGCGGCCUAUCAGCUAGUUGGUGAGGUAACGGCNCACCAAGGCGACGACGGGUAGCCGGUCUGAGAGGAUGGCCAGCCACAUUGGGACUGAGACACGGCCCAGACUCCUAUGGGAGGGCAGCAGUGGGGAAUAUUGCGCAAUGGACGAAAGUCUGACGCAGCGACGCCGCGUGUGGGAUGAAGUAAUUUCGGUAUGUAAACUUCGAAAGAAUGGGAAGAAUUAAUGACGGUACCAUUUAUAAGGUCCGGCUAACUACGUGCCAGCCGCCGCGGUAAC